AGUGGCGGAACUGGUAGACGCGCUGGAUUUAGGUUCCAGUGAGAGAUCGUGGGGGUUCGAUUCCCUCCUGGCGCACCA
rnacentral:tRNA from 1 species